GAGCGCAGUGUCGGGGGACGGAGCCCGGCUGUUGGACAGACGCUACGCGGAGUCCACCAUCGCCAGCGACAUGAGCAAGAUCAUGGACUCCAUGGUGCAGAAAAACUUCGUCAACUUCCUACUGACACGCCGAGAGAAGAAGAGCGAGCACCCCGCGGCUCCCGAAGGGACGGAGUCACAAGAUCUGUUCAACGGCCUCAUCAAGCAGGACUUUGUGGAGUGGUUUCUCAGCAAAGCCAGCAAAGAAAGGACUCAGUGAUGUCAUCCUUCAGCCAGGUAGACCCACCUAUCAGAAGACAGCAGAGCAGUCAACCGGACACACCGAUUGACCGACAUUUCUUCAUUUUUUAGACUUAGGAUUUCAGAUUUUAGAGACUUUGGUUCUAUUGUAAAUACAA